rnacentral:rRNA from 1 species
UACGGGGGGGGCAAGCGUUGUUCGGAAUUACUGGGCGUAAAGGGCUCGUAGGUGGCCAACUAAGUCAGACGUGAAAUCCCUCGGCUUAACCGGGGAACUGCGUCUGAUACUGGAUGGCUUGAGUUUGGGAGAGGGAUGCGGAAUUCCAGGUGUAGCGGUGAAAUGCGUAGAUAUCUGGAGGAACACCGGUGGCGAAGGCGGCAUCCUGGACCAACACUGACACUGAGGUGCGAAAGCGUGGGGAGCAAACAGG